ensembl:lncRNA
UUCAGCUGAAUAUUUGAUGACAAAUUUUAUAUACUUAGUUACUUCAGUAGAAAACAUCAACCCGUUUUAAAAGAUCACACUUGAAUCAGAGUAAUAUUUUAUAUUCAAACUUCCCAUGAAUAUCUGUGCACAUAUACAUGGAUACAUAUAUGUACAUGCAAAUAAAGCUAGACAAACCUAUACCUUUGAAAUCACAGUCUACUUGAACAUCACAUUUUAAAACCACACAAACAGUAUUAAUUAAUAAGAGCAAUUUUUCAUCUUUUCACAGGUCAUAUAAUUUCAAGCUGUCACUGAUGUUUAGUUUAUUUCCUCUUUACAUUCCGAAUCUCCUAGCCAAAGCUCACACCCUCUUAAUUUUUUAAAGGGAAAGCAAGUCCCAAUCUUUGGGAACUUUAGUCUAUUUCUUGCAUUCUUCCCAUGGGUGGUAUAUUCCACAUUCGGAAUAACUGGAUGCCAAAUAUAGCCACAGAUGGGAGUCUAUGCAUAGUUGCUGGAUAAUUAUAAAAUAGAAUCAGCUUCUCUGCUGUGUAACAGAUGAGAUUUUAUUCUUUGCUUAGCUACAUGUACCAGCAGUCCCAUACUGAUUUGAACUAUAUCCAAGUAAGGUGAGCAAGAUCAGGUCAUGCACAAAAUCAGACCACGCCUCUGUGCUUCCUUGGUAUGUAUUGACAAUUAUAUUCUCCCAAAAAAAUAAAACAGGAGAAAGGGAAGCUCAGGAUAUGAAUAUAUAUAUACACUGCAUAUCACAUUACCAUUUAAUUAUCUGUCCAGUUACUAUUAAUUAGGAGAGUUUGCCACUGAGAUUUCAGAGAGCAGCAGUUAAAAAAGUGACAGAGCAUUGCAGAGUCCAUGAAAAGUAUCCAGGUAACAACCUUGGAGAACAACAUUCUCUGUUUCCUUAGACAGUGAAAAAAACUCAGCCCUGUUGUGAAAUCCUACAUCUCACCUACACACGAGGGGUAGCCACAUGGACACGUCCAAGUGAGACUGCUCACACUGCUGGCCCUGGUCUGAAAGGAUCACUCAUCAGCCAACAGGGAACAGCUUCAAUACUUGCUGACAAUCUGACUACUUCACGAUGGCUUUCAGCAUGGAAGUCACGCAAUGCCAUUUUGAGCAGGAACUUCUGCCUUGCAGAGCUGGGGUUACCAAAUCAUUGCAUGUAGACUAUGCUUAGUCUGUCAGAAAGCGAUGUUUAGUCACAGCUCACCUGGCUUAGAGAGAAAACUUCUGAUUUAGAAAUAAAGCACCCUAUUAUUGCCAUGCAUCAAAACAUGGCUUCAUCAACUGCUGAAACUGAGUCAGUUAUCGGGAGACUGCAUUCACAACACAAACCAGCACCUCUACCUCAGAAGGGUAUCCUAUUGUUCUCACAGCCAGACAAAUACAAGGAGCUGGACUUGUGAUGCAAAUUCCCAUAAUAAACUUGAGAAAUGACAGUCAGGAUAGCCCAAAUGUGAAGGUUGAGCUUGAAAGCAGAGGCAGUAGUAUGAUACUCUGGCUCAAAACACCUUGGCACCUGGUCUCCCUCAUUAGCAGAGGUUCAACACACAACUAUAAUUGAACAUGUAAUACCUGUGUUUUAUUUCUUCUUUCCUCCCCCACUAAAGGCCAAGUAUAUAGUAGAGAAGUGAAAAAUCAAAUUUACAGCUAAGUUUAUGGCUUAUGGCUUCAAGGGCAUUACCUACGCUCAAUAGAAACCCCAAACUGUAAUUUGAAGCAUGGCUGUCUGAAAGAGUGCUGCUAAAAGAGCAGAAAUGUCUUACAGUCCAAUUUCUAGACUCUUCAGCAAAGCUGGCUGGCUUUCCUGACAGGCUGUACUACAGCAGUGACCUAAGAACAACACAGAGAAAAGCAGUAAAGACCUCCUAAAAACACUCCUGCUUGGCCUGAAAACACAGGUGCCUUCAGGUAGGAAAGAUUAGUCACAGGCAUUUUGGUAGAGCCCAAUGGUUCCAGUUGGUCUGUGGGCCAAGUCCCAGCAGGCCCAGCACAGCUCCUUACGGAGGAUGAACUGUGAGCUGACACUCCUCGCUCUCUCUCAGCAAUGCCUCAAAGCAUCCUCAUGCACUGUGGGAGUCUAAAGGUGUUUCUUCACCUGUUCCCCAUCACUGCAGGCUGCCAGCAGGAGCUCAGCUGCACAAGCUGUGAUACAGGCUCUAUACAGCUACUUGAUGUUUCACGAUGUUACUAGUUAGGGUUUAAGUGAACUUGGUGACAUACUUAACUUCAGACUUUUUGCUGGUAAAUUGGAUAAGGACUAUUCUUCAGCCUCAAAUGCCAAAGCCAGCACUUUGCAUCACUUUGGGAAAUUUGGAUUUUGAAGACCCUUGGCUGUCCCAAAGGCUAUUUCCAUGAUUAUACCCUUAAAAACUACUUAAAAGUUCUUUUAUACUUGUCCUAUACCAGACAUUAUUCCCUAGUGGCAGUGUCUAAAAUCCUGGUUUAAUGCAUGUUAGAGAAAAUGACAGUGAUACCAGGGGCCACAUGCUCCAUUUAGAAAUGAAGAAACCAGAGAAAUGCAAAUGCCAGACUUAAUACAGAAACUUCAACUGCAAUUUUUGACAGUGUCACUUGACAGAAUUCAGUUUUAUGCACCAAACAAACCCCCAGAUAAUCUAAGUUUUUUCCUCCCCACCAUAAUCACAUACCAGUGACCCUGCAAAACUUUAAAGCAAAGACAUCAAGGGCACUGGGGCUUUAGAGCAGAAGGAAGAGUCACCCGACCUUGAGAAUGGUGAUUUCCAAAAAUAACCAGCAGUGUCUACCGGACAAGAAGAGAAAGCUUCUACCAGAAGCCCAAGAGAAAACAGCUCCAAGGAAAGUCCUGGAAAAUGCUAUCCUGACCUUGUCUGGAGCAAUCCUGCUCCACUGGUGCCAUCUCAGCACUGAUCUUCCACAGCAGCCACACAUCAGGGGCAGGACUGUGUCACAGCAUACACCACAGCACUUGAGUUGGCCAUGAUACACAGAGCACCAUCACACAACAUCAGAAGGCUUCAACCCCUACAGAGUAACACCUUACAACUUCAGAAGUCUUCUGCCCUUCUUGUUCUUUCGCCCAGCCUUUUAUACCCUCAUGUUCAUGCACUGCACCUGUGUGUCCUCUGUUCCCUGUGGUGGUUGGUCAGUGCCCCUGGGCACUCCAUGGCUCAUUACCUUCACCAUUAGUCCCCUUCCUGCACAGCUGCAGCCCCACUCCCGACCACAACAAACUCUGUACCUACAGGACUGGACCCAGGUUGCACCUAUCAACCCCUUUGCUAGUUCAGAGUCAUUUUUUGUGUAUCUUUGUUCUCACUCCCUAGGGCACAAAACCUUGCCUCAUUAAGGAAUGGCAGUGGGACAUUGCUUUAUUUCUUUCUAACGGGAAAAAAGUGAAAAUACAUUUUUGGGUUGGUUUCUUUUUUUUUUUUUUUUUUUUUUACUUUCCCUUCUUGCAAGUUUUCCCAUCAUAUUCUCAUUUGCUUCUGUCCAUAUCUCCCAGUGGAUUGCCUAGAGCAAAGGCUUGGAAGAUGUAAAUGCUCUGAUAUUAGAUAUCAUGUGGUAUCAUUUCUAUGGUUUCUUUAGUGCCUCCUCAGUCUGAGUGGAUGGUGAACAAACAUUUUUUGAGAAGUACAAAAGCUUUCAAAUAAAAAAGAGCAGUCAUAAACCAUUCUUAUUAUAAACUCCAUUAUUCCUCCUAAAAGGAAACUUUCUUAGGGAACUUCAAGUAACACAAAACAGAAGACAACAAUGACAAUUCUUUCCCUCGGAAACACAAAAUCCCUCAGUGUUCUCAUUUAAGUACUGCACAUGAUGACAUCCAACUGGGUUUUACCCUGCAAUUCACUCGCAUUAUCAGGGAUGUUCUGCUAAACAACUGGCACAUUUUAGAUGAAUAAAGAGGGAACUUGUCCAGUCAUCUCAAGCUGUUUGUCAGUUAUGGAACACUUAAUUUUCUAGUUCCCUAUAGCAGCUGAAGUCAAUUUGUCUUCCUCUUGACACCAGACAGCAUGCAUACUUUUUUUUUU